GUGUCGCACGUGUCAAGGGUAGCUUAAGAUGGGGAGGGGCGUUGCCCGAAAGGAUGCGGGCAGGAGGAAGUGGGGCCCGCGUGACAAGGACUUUGAGAGUAAAGCCAGCAAUGCUGUGACUCAAGGUGGGUCCCUUUGCAUCGUUGGCCUUUUUUUUGUAGUCUUUCUCUUUUUGGGUCCCACUUCCGAGUCAGCUCCAAACCCUCUUUUCACUUCCAGUCACACUUUAUUAUUAUUUUUUUUUUUUAAUUAUCAUUUUGGGUUUAUUUAUUUAUUUAUUUAUAAAUAUCAAAUCUUACUCUAAAUAAAUCUUCCAUUUUAAUUAUUUUGUCCUUUUAAAAACUAUUCUAUUAACUUUCGUUCAAUGUAAUAUUAUAAUGGAGAUUUGGGGAAU
rnacentral:lncRNA from 1 species